CACCUCCCGCCGCGCACCCACUACCCCGCGCUGACACCCGCUUUUCCGGGUCUGCAGCGGGCUGAUCCCGGCUGUAUCGCCCGGUGUCUUGUCCCCGCCUCUCCCGUUCCUGCCGAGAGGAGGGCGGGGCGAGGGGGCAGAGUCCUGCCCCCGCCCCCCCGCGGGCAAUCACCUGGGGCCGGUGGUGCAGGUGCCUCGAGGUGACCUUGCGGCGGGCUGGGUAGAGUCCCUGCGCAGGACGCAGGACGCGGGGCGCGAGCUCCGGCCGGUGAGUGUUGGCGGGUGGAGGCCCAGACGUCGCGCCUGCUUGCGGCCCGCGGCCUGCGGUCCACUGGCGCUCCUGCUCGCGGCUUCCCCGGCGGGCGUAUCCAGUGCUUGUCUGUUCCUCGAGGGCGCGGGAGUGGGACCGCGGACAGAGAGCCUUCGUGCCCCGGACUGGGCCGCUGUGAUUUCUGCUGGCGGACUCCGGAGGAAGGUACGGCCCAGAGCCCCGCGAGGAGCGCCAGCAACUCAACUUCCAGAGAUAACCCACACCAGCAAAGGAUAGCUUACAUAGCAUUUUGGCAUAGCAAAAUGAAACGCAAGGAACCAACAGUGACAUAAUUAAAGGCAGCAAAAUCAAAAUAAAAUAGGAUCACUGGUUAGGAAGACUCUGGAGAGUAAGUAUGAUAUAUUGUUAAUAAUUAGUUGGGUUAUAGCUGGGUGUGGUAGCACAUGCCUAUAAUCUCAGCCACUCAGGAAGUUGAGGCAAGAGCAUCAUAAGUUCAUGGCCAGCCUAGGGUAACUUAGCCAGACCCUGUCUCAAAAUUUUAAAAGGGCUGGGGAUGUAGCUCAGCAUUCCUUGAGUUCAAUCCCCAGUACUGCUUUUUAAAAAAGGAAUUAAUUGGGUUAUAAGUGGAAAACAGAGGCUAUGUCCGUGAAAACAAAUUGUGGCUGCUCAGGCUCCUCUUACACUUUCAAACUGGGCCAGAUCACAAAGCAAAGCCUGGAUAAUACAGAUUCCUUGAAAAAGACUUCUACAUUAACUUUUUAGGUUGCCUGUGAGUCAUAGGAGUUGAUUCUGAAGUAGUUAGAAAUCAUACAGGAACAAGACCACAUUUUAUAAAUGUCUAAAUCCUCUUAGUUACUCUGACCAUUUUUCAAGGAAAAUUGA
rnacentral:lncRNA from 1 species